rfam:TPA: Bos taurus chromosome X, whole genome shotgun sequence.
UCCCUGGUGGCUCAGAUGGUAAAGAAUCUGCCUGCAAUGCAGGAGACUCAGGUUCAAUCCCUGGGUUGGGAA